rnacentral:rRNA from 1 species
GAUGAACGCUGGCGGCGUGCCUAAUACAUGCAAGUCGAGCGAACGGACGAGAAGCUUGCUUCUCUGAUGUUAGCGGCGGACGGGUGAGUAACACGUGGAUAACCUACCUAUAAGACUGGGAUAACUUCGGGAAACCGGAGCUAAUACCGGAUGAUAUUUUGAACCGCAUUGUUCAAAAGUGAAAGACGGCCUUGCUGUCACUUAUAGAUGGAUCCGGGCUGCAUUAGCUAGUUGGUAAGGUAACGGCUUACCAAGGCGACGAUGCGUAGCCGACCUGAGAGGGUGAUCGGCGACACUGGAACUGGAACACGGUCCAGACGCCUACGGGAGGCAGCAGUAGGGAAUCUUCCGCAGUGGGCGAAAGCCUGACGGAGCAACGCCGCGUGAGUGAUGAAGGUCUUCGGAUCGUAAAACUCUGUUAUUAGGGAAGAACAUAUGUGUAAGUAACUGUGCACAUCUUGACGGUACCUAAUCAGAAAGCCACGGCUAACUACGUG